rnacentral:rRNA from 1 species
AACGAACGCUGGCGGCAUGCCUAACACAUGCAAGUCGAACGAGACCUUCGGGUCUAGUGGCGCACGGGUGCGUAACGCGUUGGAACCUGCCCUUAGGUUCGGAAUAACUCCCCGAAAGGGGUGCUAAUACCGGAUAAUGUCUUCGGACCAAAGAUUUAUCGCCUUUGGAUGGGCCCGCGUUGGAUUAGCUAGUUGGUAGGGUAAAAGCCUACCAAGGCGACGAUCCAUAGCUGGUCUGAGAGGAUGAUCAGCCACACUGGGACUGAGACACGGCCCAGACUCCUACGGGAGGCAGCAGUGGGGAAUAUUGGACAAUGGGCGAAAGCCUGAUCCAGCAAGGCCGCGUGAGUGAUGAAGGCCUUAGGGUUGUAAAGCUAUUUUACCCGGGAUGAUAAUGACAGUACCGGGAGAAUAAGCUCCGGCUAACUCCGUG